ACUACGGGAGGCAGCAGUAGGGAAUCUUCCACACAGGGCGCCAGCAAGAAAGCGCAACAACACGGUGGUGAAGAAGGUCUUCGGAUCGUAAAACCCUGUUGUUAGAGAAGAAAGUGCGUGAGAGUAACUGUUCACGUUUCGACGGUAUCUAACCAGAAAGCCACGGCUAACUACGUGCCAGCAGCCGCGGUAAUACGUAGGUGGCAAGCGUUAUCCGGAUUUAUUGGGCGUAAAGGGAACGCAGGCGGUCUUUUAAGUCUGAUGUGAAAGCCUUCGGCUUAACCGGAGUAGUGCAUUGGAAACUGGGAGACUUGAGUGCAGAAGAGGAGAGUGGAACUCCAUGUGUAGCGGUGAAAUGCGUAGAUAUAUGGAAGAACACCAGUGGCGAAAGCGGCUCUCUGGUCUGUAACUGACGCUGAGGUUCGAAAGCGUGGGUAGCAAACAGGAUUAGAUACCCGGGUAGUC
rnacentral:rRNA from 1 species